ACCUGGUUGGCUCAGUUGGUUGAGUGUCUGACUUUGGCUCAGGUCACCAUCUCACGGUUCAUGAGUUCGAGCCCCACAUCAGGCU
rnacentral:tRNA from 1 species